rnacentral:rRNA from 1 species
GGGGAAUCUUGGACAAUGGGCGAAAGCCUGAUCCAGCCAUGCCGCGUGUGUGAAGAAGGUCUUCGGAUUGUAAAGCACUUUAAGUUGGGAGGAAGCGCUGCAAGUUAAUACCUUGUAGUUUUGACGUUACCAACAGAAUAAGCACCGGCUAACUACGUGCCAGCAGCCGCGGUAAUACGUAGGGUGCGAGCGUUAAUCGGAAUUACUGGGCGUAAAGCGUGCGCAGGCGGUUGAUUAAGACAGGCGUGAAAUCCCCGGGCUUAACCUGGGAACUGCGCUUGUGACUGGUCGGCUAGAGUACGGCAGAGCGGGGUGGAAUUCCACGUGUAGCAGUGAAAUGCGUAGAGAUGUGGAGGAACACCGAUGGCGAAGGCAGCCCCCUGGGCCGAUACUGACGCUCAUGCACGAAAGCGUGGGUAGCAAACA